GAUGAACGCCGGCGGCGUGCCUAAUACAUGCAAGUCGAGCGAACAGAUGAGGAGCUUGCUCCUCUGACGUUAGCGGCGGACGGGUGAGUAACACGUGGAUAACCUACCUAUAAGACUGGGAUAACUUCGGGAAACCGGAGCUAAUACCGGAUAAUAUAUUGAACCGCAUGGUUCAAUAGUGAAAGACGGUUUUGCUGUCACUUAUAGAUGGAUCCGCGCCGCAUUAGCUAGUUGGUAAGGUAACGGCUUACCAAGGCAACGAUGCGUAGCCGACCUGAGAGGGUGAUCGGCCACACUGGAACUGAGACACGGUCCAGACUCCUACGGGAGGCAGCAGUAGGGAAUCUUCCGCAAUGGGCGAAAGCCUGACGGAGCAACGCCGCGUGAGUGAUGAAGGUCUUCGGAUCGUAAAACUCUGUUAUUAGGGAAGAACAAAUGUGUAAGUAACUAUGCACGUCUUGACGGUACCUAAUCAGAAAGCCACGGCUAACUACGUG
rnacentral:rRNA from 1 species